rnacentral:rRNA from 1 species
AUCAACUUUCGAUGGUAGGAUAGAGGCCUACCAUGGUGGUAACGGGUAACGGGGUGUUAGGGCACGACACCGGAGAGGGAGCCUGAGAAACGGCUACCACAUCCAAGGAUGGCAGCAGGCGCGCAAAUUACCCAAUCCCGACACGGGGAGGUAGUGACAAUAAAUAACAAUACGGGGUUCUUUCGGAUUUCGUAAUUGGAAUGAGUACAAUUUAAAUCUCUUAACGAGGAACAAUUGGAGGGCAAGUCUGGUGCCAGCAGCCGCGGUAAUUCCAGCUCCAAUAGCGUAUAUUAAAGUUGCUGCAGUUAAAAAGCUCGUAGUUGAAUUUCGGGACCAAUAUGUCGGUCGUGCCUCGGUACGUACUGGCAUCGUUGGUUUCUCCCUUCUGACGAACCAUGAUGUCAUUUAUUUGGUGUCGUGGGGAAUCAGGACUGUUACUUUGAAAAAAUUAGAGUGUUUAAAGCAGGCUCACGCUUGAAUACAUUAGCAUGGAAUAAUGAAAUAGGACGUUUGAUUCUAUUUUGUUGGUUUCUAGGAUUGACGUAAUGAUUAAUAGGGAUAGUUGGGGGCAUUAGUAUUCAAUUGUCAGAGGUGAAAUUCUUGGAUUUAUUGAAGACUAACUACUGCGAAAGCAUUUGCCAAGGAUGUUUUCAUUAAUCAAGAACGAAAGUUAGGGGAUCGAAGACGAUCAGAUACCGUCGUAGUCUUAACCAUAAACUAUGCCGACUAGGGAUCGGAUGAUGUUAAUUUUUUAAUGACUCAUUCGGCGCCUUACGGGAAACCAAAGUGUUUGGGUUC